UGGAUUUAGGUGAAAUGUGCUGUUUAAAAAAAACAACCUGCCUCAGCUGAAGGAAAAAUGCAAGAGAGAUAAGAGGGACCCCUUGAACUUUGAAACAGAUGAAAACCAAAGCUGAGGCUGCAGGAGACAGGGCAAGAUGACCCAGGAGUUCUUUCUGUAUUUUCUGAUAAAAAACUAGCUGCAAGUGUAACGGGAAACCAGUAAAAUGAAUAUGUAUGAACCUAUUGUGAAAUUCUAUGCAUAUGUACCAGUAAGUUCUCAGGGGUGCACGUCCUUUACGGGGAACAAUCCCCACAUGCAUCCAGUGCCGUAAUAAACAUACCGGCUUUACAACUUUUACAAGUUGUGGAGUUUUUUCCUUCCACAAAUAAUUUUGGCAAGGCCAGGAUGGAGACCGUGUCUGUCCUUGCAGGGGCGGAGGGGAGGACGGACCUCCGAGUCUCGCCCUGGGAUUUUCCCUGGAGGAGCUCCACUCCGUCUCGGUUUGCCUCCUGCGGAGACAGACAACGACCUGCUGGUGUGCGGAUAAACGGUAUGUAUAUCAAAGGAGGGCCUCGGGGGAGACAGAGACAGGACUGCUGAUAAGGCACUCAGAGAUGUCUGAGUGCACAGCCUCGUCCCUGUGCUUGCAGGCAGCCAUCGACCGAGAGCAUGGUCGGCGGCAGAGGUCCCCAGUUGACAGAGCGACUUGGGGAACGGGUCCAUUGUUCGAUAGAGCAGCCGCUAGUGACUCUGGGGUCUCUUACAGAAAAGACUUUGGAAGCGCAGUGGGAAGGACCAUUCCAGGUACUUCUCACCACCUUCAUCGCUAUCAAGAUCAAGGAGCAGAAUGCCUAGAUCCACCACUCUCGAGUGAAGAAGGCCCCAGAAGCCCCUUGGAGAGUGACACCAGGAGACAAUGAACUGACACUAAAACUUACUCAGGCAAAAUGAGUAUAUUGCGGCUGGGGGUAGUUUGUAACUUCAUUUACAGAAUUGUUUUGUGUACAAUUAUAAUUGGAGUCUUGGAAUUAGAGAGUACCUCUAUCCAAACUGAUGCUGAAUGGCCUUGGUCCCAGGCUUUUAAUCAGUAUACUGGAUCCAUGAAAGAACCUUCUGAUAUAAAAGAUUUAAACCUAUCCACUGUAGUAAUCCAUGGGAAUCAGGUAUAUGAGAAGCAGGACUGACAGGAAUGGGAACUGUGGACACAUCAAGGGAUCAGAGGAGAAGAAAUCAGGGUAGAAUCCCAGGUGGUCAAUAGGACCACUCAUGAGAGACCAAAUCAAAUUAGUGUCUCAGCCUCCCCUGUAUACAGGUACCAGGAGAUUGUGAUAGCCCAAAUAAAUCAGAUUGUUGGUGUAAUUACACAUCAAUACAGCCUGUAGAAGUGACUUCUCUUUGGGCUUAUGAUGCUAUUGGCCUGUCAUUUAAAUUUAAUAUAGAUGCUAUAAUUGCUAAUGCAAAUAAACAUCUCAGAAAUCCAACCAGACUGCUCCUCUUUCCUAAGGACAUCCUUUGAGGGCUGGACAACAUGGUUACAAAGACAAGUACACCUCAGGAGAAGAAUAAGAAGAUCUAACUGGGAUAUUAGGGACAGGAUUGGGAGUUUUAAAUGGAAUUGAUUCAGAAAUACUGAUGAACAAGCUGGCCACUGCAGCAGGUGGUCUAGCAAAAUGGAAACAGCCCUUAUAGUCAUCUCUAUCGGCAUUAGGAACUAGCCAGUGUCAGAUUUCAAAAGUACUGCCAAAGUGGAAGAAGGCCAGGGACCAAGACCACAAGUUAAUAAAAGCGCUUAGUAUGGUUCAAGAUAAUCUGUCUUUAGCUUUCACUUGCAUACAAGCACAGUUAUGGAUGCAGGCAUAGCAGCUUUGAUCAUAUGGGAAGGGGGUGAAGGUGAUUUUCCAGCUGAAAUUCGGAAAGUUGUCUGGGAUAAUGCAAUUGAUUUUGAAAGAAAGUUUCAAUCCUGGUGGACUAUGGUAAAUUUCACCUAUGAUCCUGCUUCUAAUGUGCCCACUGCCUUUGUGCUUACUAUAUGUAAUGCCACUGUUUAUGUUAUCCACCCCAUCAUUGCACUAGGAUUAAAUCAUGAACAAAACGGUGCUCUAUCCCUCAGAACAUAGGGUGUGGGCACAAAAGGUGAAUGAAAGGUGGCAAACAGUAAACUUAGAACCUUGUGUUGCCCGGGAACAACUAGGAUUAAUGCUCAAGAUGUGUGUCUUGACUCUGAACAAAGUAUUUGCCACUUUGAGAUUCAUCCAGUCACUGAUCAGAAAACCAUGCUUUGUAUAUACGGGUAAAGGUUGUGUAUGCUUGAGAAACCUCCUUAUCAAAUGUACAUGGUAAAACAAUAAGACACUUAUUAUCGUAGGGAUUUGCAUUAAGUAAAAGAAUUUACUUGUAUUUAGGAAAGGGGGGAAUGAAACAGAGUGGAAAUUUACCAGGGUGGAAAUCCAUUUUGGAUUUAGGUGAAAUGUGCUGUUUAAAAAAAACAACCUGCCUCAGCUGAAGGAAAAAUGCAAGAGAAAUAAGAGGGACCCCUUGAACUUUGAAACAGAUGAAAACCAAAGCUGAGGCUGCAGGAGACAGGGCAAGAUGACCCAGGAGUUCUUUCUGUAUUUUCUGAUAAAAAACUAGCUGCAAGUGUAACGGGAAACCAGUAAAAUGAAUGUGUAUGAACCUAUUGUGAAAUUCUAUGCAUAUGUACCAGUAAGUUCUCAGGGGUGCACGUCCUUUACGGGGAACAAUCCCCACAUGCAUCCAGUGCCGUAAUAAACAUACCGGCUUUACAACUUUUACAAGUUGUGGAGAUUUUUUCCUUCCACAAAUCAGUAUGAAAUGAUGAAUUUGAUUCAUCUACUGAAAUUAACAGGAUGCUACAGAGAAUUAUUUUUUUUCUGCAAGAAUACAGAAACUUAAAGUAUCCAAAAUUUAAUGACCUUUUAACAUUUAAGUGGUUACUAGUUCUUCGCUUUUGCAAAACUGAAGCUCACUGCAAUUUUGGUUUUUGGGUAUAUGCUAACACUAACUUAGACGUUAAACAAGUGUAAAAAAAACCUUGAUGAUAAACAGGUUUUCUAAAAUGUACACAUUUUUUCUGUGAAUAUUUCCAUUUUUUGCCUUUAUUAGACACCAUUAAAAAAAACCUAUACAUAUUUUUGCAAAGUAAGCAUUAAAUGGAUGUUUUAAUACCACCUCCUUGGCAAGUUUUAUUUUUCAAACAAUAUGUCUCUCUUGUUUUUUGGUGGGAUUUCUGGGAGUUUGUUUUUUUUUUUGGUUCCUCUCCCAAGUUUACAGUUGCUCUAAUGUUGCCUUCUAUUUUUAUUUU